GGCCAGCGAACUCAGCAACCGCUCUGAUGAUGCGCAACACGACUCGUAAUCGUGUUGUCGGUGGUUCGAACCCACCCGCCGCCA
rnacentral:tRNA from 1 species